rnacentral:rRNA from 1 species
UGCUCGACUGAGCUCCGCCCGACCUCCACCCUUUGUGAACCAAACUUGUUGCUUCGGGGGCGACCCUGCCGACGACUUCGUCGCCGGGCGCCCCCGGAGGUCUUCUAAACACUGCAUCUUUGCGUCGGAGUUUAAACAAAUUAAACAAAACUUUCAACAACGGAUCUCUUGGUUCUGGCAUCGAUGAAGAACGCAGCGAAAUGCGAUAAGUAAUGUGAAUUGCAGAAUUCAGUGAAUCAUCGAAUCUUUGAACGCACAUUGCGCCCUUUGGUAUUCCGAAGGGCAUGCCUGUUCGAGCGUCAUUUCACCACUCAAGCCUGGCUUGGUAUUGGGCGUCGCGGUUUUCCGCGCGCCUUAAAGUCUUCCGGCUGAGCUGUCCGUCUCUAAGCGUUGUGGAUUUUUCAAUUCGCUUCGGAGUGCGGAUGGCCGCGGCCGUUAAAUCUUUAUUCAAAGGUUGACCUCGGAUCAGGUAGGGAUACCCGCUGAACUUAAGCAUAUCAAUAUACGGAAGAAGCGGACGAGCAGAGGGCUCACCGCAGGAUCAACCCUUUGUGAACAAACUUGUUGCUUCGGGGGCGACCUGCCGACUACCUCCUCGCCGGGGCCCCGGAAGGUCUCCCAAACAUGUAUCUUUUGCUCGGAAUUUUAAAAAAUUAAACAAAACUUUUAACAACGGCAUCUCUGGGUUCUGGCAUCGAUGAAAAAGCAUCGAAUGCUAUAAGUAAUGUGAAUUGCAGAAUCAUGAAAUCAUCAAAUCUUUCACCCAUUGCGCUUUUGGUAUUCCAAGGCAUGCGGUUUGAGCGUCUUUUCCCACUCGCCGGCCUGGUUAUUCGGGCGGCGCGGUUUUUCGCCCUACAAUCUUCGCUGUAACUGUCUACUCAAGCGUGUUGGGCUUUCUCUAUUUCUUCUGAGAUGCGUAAGGGCUGCCGUUCAAUCUUUAUUACAAAGCUGGACUCGCAUCAGUACGUGAUUAACCUUGAAUUUAGCAACUCAUACACGAGAGUAGAA